ACUGGCCCUAGAAGCAUUGCCGGUGUGGCUGCUGUGUCACGAGCACUUUAGUGGUGGCAGAAAGGAGAUAGGCUAUGUCUAUGUUCAGUGUUCUGACCUUUGAAUAUGUGAAUGAUUAGUAGCUUAACAUU
ensembl:snoRNA Gm26080 small nucleolar RNA SNORA17